AGUGAACGCUGGCGGUAGGCCUAACACAUGCAAGUCGAACGGCAGCACAGUAAGAGCUUGCUCUUACGGGUGGCGAGUGGCGGACGGGUGAGGAAUACAGCGGAAUCUACUUUUUCGUGGGGGAUAACGUAGGGAAACUUACGCUAAUACCGCAUACGACCUACGGGUGAAAGCAGGAGAUCUUCGGACCUUGCGCGAUUGAAUGAGCCGAUGUCGGAUUAGCUAGUUGGCGGGGUAAAGGCCCACCAAGGCGACGAUCCGUAGCUGGUCUGAGAGGAUGAUCAGGCACACUGGAACUGAGACACGGUCCAGACUCCUACGGGAGGCAGCAGUGGGGAAUAUUGGACAAUGGGCGCAAGCCUGAUCCAGCCAUACCGCGUGGGUGAAGAAGGCCUUCGGGUUGUAAAGCCCUUUUGUUGGGAAAGAAAAGCAGCAGGUUAAUACCCCGCUGUUCUGACGGUACCCAAAGAAUAAGCACCGGCUAACUUCGUG
rnacentral:rRNA from 1 species